AUUGAACGCUGGCGGCAGGCUUAACACAUGCAAGUCGAGCGGAGAUGAGGUGCUUGCACCUUAUCUUAGCGGCGGACGGGUGAGUAAUGCUUAGGAAUCUGCCUAUUAGUGGGGGACAACAUUCCGAAAGGAAUGCUAAUACCGCAUACGUCCUACGGGAGAAAGCAGGGGAUCUUCGGACCUUGCGCUAAUAGAUGAGCCUAAGUCGGAUUAGCUAGUUGGUGGGGUAAAGGCGUACCAAGGCGACGAUCUGUAGCGGGUCUGAGAGGAUGAUCCGCCACCCUGUGACUGGAACACGGGCCAGACUCCUACGUGAGGCAGCAGUGGGGAAUAUUGGACAAUGGGGGGAACCCUGCUCCAGCCAUGCCGCGUGUGUGAAGAAGGCCUUAUGGUUGUAAAGCACUUUAAGCGAGGAGGAGGCUACUGAGACUAAUACUCUUGGAUAGUGGACGUUACUCGCAGAAUAAGCACCGGCUAACUCUGUGCCAGCAGCCGCGGUAAUAC
rnacentral:rRNA from 1 species